rnacentral:rRNA from 1 species
AGAGUUUGAUCCUGGCUCAGAUUGAACGCUGGCGGAAUGCUUUACACAUGCAAGUCGAACGGCAGCACGGGGCAACCUGGUGGCGAGUGGCGAACGGGUGAGUAAUACAUCGGAACGUGCCCAAUCGUGGGGGAUAACGUAGCGAAAGUUACGCUAAUACCGCAUACGAUCUACGGAUGAAAGCGGGGGAUCGCAAGACCUCGCGCGAAUGGAGCGGCCGAUGUCAGAUUAGGUAGUUGGUGGGGUAAAGGCUCACCAAGCCGACGAUCUGUAGCUGGUCUGAGAGGACGACCAGCCACACUGGGACUGAGACACGGCCCAGACUCCUACGGGAGGCAGCAGUGGGGAAUUUUGGACAAUGGGCGCAAGCCUGAUCCAGCCAUUCCGCGUGCAGGAUGAAGGCCUUCGGGUCGUAAACUGCUUUUGUACGGAACGAAACGGUUCUCUCUAAUACAGGGGGCUAAUGACGGUACCGUAAGAAUAAGCACCGGCUAACUACGUG